rnacentral:rRNA from 1 species
GCCCGCUCAAGAAACUCAAAUAGAAUUGACGGGGCCCGGCACAAGCGGAGGAGCAUGUGGUUUAAUUCGAUGAUACGCGAGGAACCUUACCUGGGCUCGAACGUAAGAUGACUGUAGGUGAAAGCUUACAUCUCUUCGGAGCAUUUUACGAGGUGCUGCAUGGUUGUCGUCAGCUCGUGCCGUGAGGUGUCGGGUUAAGUCCCAUAACGAGCGCAACCCCUACCUUUAGUUGCCAUCAGGUUAAGCUGGGGACUCUAAAGGAACUGCCUACGCAAGUAGUGAGGAAGGCGGGGAUGACGUCAAAUCAGCACGGCCCUUACGUCCAGGGCUACACACGUGCUACAAUGGCCGAUACAGAGGGCAGCUACCUGGUGACAGGAUGCAAAUCUCCAAAGUCGGUCUCAGUUCGGAUCGGAGUCUGCAACCCGACUCCGUGAAGUUGGAUUCGCUAGUAAUCGUGCAUCAGCCAUGGCGCGGUGAAUACGUUCCCGGGCCUU